rnacentral:rRNA from 1 species
AGUGAACGCUGGCGGUAGGCCUAACACAUGCAAGUCGAACGGCAGCACAGUAAGAGCUUGCUCUUACGGGUGGCGAGUGGCGGACGGGUGAGGAAUACAUCGGAAUCUACUUUUUCGUGGGGGAUAACGUAGGGAAACUUACGCUAAUACCGCAUACGACCUACGGGUGAAAGCAGGGGAUCUUCGGACCUUGCGCGAUUGAAUGAGCCGAUGUCGGAUUAGCUAGUUGGCGGGGUAAAGGCCCACCAAGGCGACGAUCCGUAGCUGGUCUGAGAGGAUGUUCAGCCACACUGGAACUGAGACACGGUCCAGACUCCAACGGGAGGCAGCAGUGGGGAAUAUUGGACAAUGGGCGCAAGCCUGAUCCAGCCAUACCGCGUGGGUGAAGAAGGCCUUCGGGUUGUAAAGCCCUUUUGUUGGGAAAGAAAAGCAGCAGGUUAAUACCCCGCUGUUCUGACGGUACCCAAAGAAUAAGCACCGGCUAACUUCGU